rnacentral:rRNA from 1 species
GUGCACCAGUCGAGAAACCUCCGCAAUGCUCGAAAGAGCGGACGGGGACGUCCGAGUGCCUACGCUUUGCGUAGGCUUUUCCCUAAGCCUAAAAAGACUUGGGGAAUAAGGGCUGGGUAAGACGGGUGCCAGCCGCCGCGGUAAUACCCGCAGCCCGAGUGGUGACCGCUUUUAUUGGGCCUAAAGCGUCCGUAGCCGGUCUGGUAAAUGCCUGGGUAAAUCGUCUGGCUUAACCAGACGAAUUCCAGGUAGACUGCCAGACUUAGGGGACCGGAGGAAGGAGAGGGUACUCCGGGGGUAGGGGUGAAAUCAGCAAGGUGAGUUGCUGAUGUAACUUGCCUUGCAAGUCACAAUCCUGUAAUCCUCGGAGGACCACCGGUGGCGAAGGCGCUCUCCUAGGACGGGUCCGACGUGAGGGACGAAAGCCAGGGGAGCAAACCGGAUUAGAUACCCGUGUAGU